GUUAGUGGAAAUGCAAAGUAUGAAGCUCUGACUGGAGAGUCCCUGAAAAGAGGCUGACUGAAGGGAUGAGUAGGCUGCAAAAUGAGUUCUCCUUUUCAGGAGCUGUAGCCAUGAUCCGUGGCUUAGUGCCACUGAAGAAGAUGUGAUUUGCAGGGCUGUUUGAGCAGCAUUUGGGACUGGGAAAGAAGAUGCAGUCAUUUAGUGCUCACACACCACCACAUCACAUUCCCUGGCUGGGGAAUCCUACAGAGCACUGAGAACACCUGGAAAUGCUCAUCAGGGCAGAAGAGAGACAGGAGGGAGGGAGCUGGACGACGACUGGGAAGGUUGGGCACCCACACGUGGACUGAUGCUGUUCUUGGUUUCCCUCUUCAGAGGUGGAAAGAAAUAGCCCAAAAGAAAAGCUGCCAGAAGGACACUGUGAAAAGAUAACGUGCUAAUGGACUUCUAAAAAGGAAAUUACAAUUAUGAUAUGAGAUUACAAUGGAGGAGCUGUAUCAGGAAGGCGUACAUGUCAGCCGUAUUAUGCCACUUAUCCCAGUCUCUUCUCCUGGUUGAUAUAAUUUUUACUGCAGAUUCAAGAAGAUGAGAGGAAGACAACUGCGUAUGGUGAAUCCUCAGCUAAGAGCAAGGAUUAAAUGAAGGUUCAGUAAACUA